CACGUAAGGGGCGAGCGUUGUUCGGAAUUAUUGGGCGUAAAGGGCGCGUAGGCGGUUCUGCAAGCCCGGCGUGAAAAUCUGGAGCUUAACUCCGGAACUGCGUUGGGAACUGCGGGACUAGAGUCAUAGAAGGGGAGUUGGAAUUCCAGGUGUAGGGGUGAAAUCUGUAGAUAUCUGGAAGAACACCGGUGGCGAAGGCGAACUCCUGGCUACUGACUGACGCUGAGGCGCGAAAGUGCGGGGAGCAAACAGG
rnacentral:rRNA from 1 species